UACAGAGGGGGCAAGCGUUGUUCGGAAUUACUGGGCGUAAAGGGCGCGUAGGCGGCCUUCUAAGUCGAACGUGAAAUCCCUGGGCUCAACCCAGGAACUGCGUCCGAUACUGGGAGGCUUGAAUCCGGGAGAGGGACGUGGAAUUCCAGGUGUAGCGGUGAAAUGCGUAGAUAUCUGGAGGAACACCGGUGGCGAAGGCGACGUCCUGGACCGGCAUUGACGCUGAGGCGCGAAAGCCAGGGGAGCAAACGGG
rnacentral:rRNA from 1 species